rnacentral:tRNA from 1 species
GGGCGGUUAGCUCAGUGGUAGAGCGUCUCGUUUACACCGAGAGGGUCGGGGGUUCGAACCCCUCACCGCCCA